rnacentral:rRNA from 1 species
GUAGGGAAUAUUGGUCAAUGGACGAAAGUCUGAACCAGCCAUUCCGCGUGCAGGAAGAAGAUUCUAUGGAUUGUAAACUGCUUUUAGCAGAGAAGAAACGCCUUCAUUGAUGAGGGUUUGACGGUAUCUGCGGAAUAAGCACCGGCUAACUCCGUGCCAGCAGCCGCGGUAAUACGGGGGGUGCAAGCGUUAUCCGGAAUCACUGGGUUUAAAGGGUGCGUAGGCGGGAAAUUAAGUCAGUGGUGAAAGUCUGUUGCUUAACGAUAGAAUUGCCGUUGAUACUGAUUUUCUUGAAUUGGGUUGAGGUUAGCGGAAUGUGACAUGUAGCGGUGAAAUGCAUAGAUAUGUCAUGGAACACCAAUUGCGAAGGCAGCUAGCUGGGCCUUGAUUGACGCUGAGGCACGAAAGCGUGGGUAGCGAACAGGAUUAGAUACCCUGGUAGUCC